AUCAGAGUGUAUGGCGUCGAACUCCUCAGUGCAGUCGGUGCCAGCAUUGAUGAGGAUGCUGUCGGUACCGCCAGGGUGGUCUUUGAGGAAGCGGGUGCAAUCGUAGACGUGGCCGUGGACGACGAUCCAUGUGGAGUCGGCUGAGUUGUGUUUUUUGACCUCGGACAUGGAGUACAUUUUGGAGGAGGUGUUCAUGAAAGGAGAUGAGACACUCUUCUUCAGAGUUGAGUUGGCAUCAGAGGAUUGGACAAGGUGCUUUUCACGAGCCAUCCAUCCUCCGGAUUGGUUUCCUGGAAGAGUUGGAUGCUCGAAUACGAUUCCAAUCUCUCC
rnacentral:lncRNA from 1 species